GACUUACCCCAGCCCUCUCCCUCUCUGCUGCCUCCAAAAGCCCCAGGUCCGCUCUGGGCACCACUUCUGUCUCCACCUUUUAGUCUCCAACUACAGAGGAAAGAAAGAAGGAACGAGUCUGCUGCCUCCAGAAAGUAUUUUAUUUACAAUGACAGUGGUAGCCACUGAAGUGAUCUGCUGUACCUCAGGUUGUUGGGAUCCUGGCACCUCAUUCAUGCCCCUGAAUGAAAGCCAUGUUGCACCAUCACUGUGUGAGGUUGGACAUACAAAAAUGAGCCCCCAAGAGUUCACACACUACUGGAGGAAAUUCUAAAAGUUCUCCACCGAGGUAGAAUUUCUUCCGUAAUCCUCCUCCGCCAACAUAGUACAGCCAAUCCAUGUGUAUGCAAAGCAAGUCAAGCUCAAGUGCCUUCUAGUUAGGUCAUCCGUUUUCUCGUCCAGGGGCUCUGGAUAGUAUGCAUUCUUCUUUGUCAAGUCUGGAUGUGGCUUACCACAGGUCAGCAGUCUGUAUCUAAAUGGUUGUUUAUGAAAUGCCAACAUCAACAACAAUAACAACACAUCCAAAGGUGCUGGUGGUGAACUCUGGCUUUGAGAACUUUGCUUUGAGGACUGAAAAAAGUAAUGUCUUUUUCCGUUUAACAAAAAAUAUUUUCAAAAUGCUAUUUAGUUUGAGUCCGAGUGAGCAAACGUAAUAGAUGUAGGUAGCCUUCAGGGGCUCUCUGGAACUGGCCAGAAUCUACAGAUGGGCAGAUUCCUGCACAGAGCGUAUUUCAUGAUCUGCUGCAUAAACAAGUUUUAGAGAUGGAGUGGCAGGGACCCGUCUGAGCCCUGUUCCAGGACACACCUGCUGACUCCGACACUGCCCUCACGCCAGUCUCACCCUCUCUCUGCACCUGCCUGAAAAUGGAGGCAAUGGGUGUCAGCUGCUUUCCCGUCCCACACCCGCCCCGACCUCCGCCUUAUGAUUCUGAAAGCCCAGGGUCACCUCUACAUCUGUGGGUCUCAGCUGGGGGGUGGUUGAUCCUCCACCCCCACCUCAAGGAAUAUCGAUCAAUGUGUGGAGGCAUUUUGUUUGUCAUGAAGGAGGAAGGGGUCUGCUAUCCAGUGAGCAGGGGCCAGGCAUGCCACCGAGCUUCCUGCAGAGCACAGGACAGUCCCCCACACCACACAACCAUCCAUCCCCAAAGCUCUCCAGUGUUGAGGUGGAGAAAUCCUACUGUAGAGAUAAGAGAAGUGAAGCUAGGGUGGGGGCUCCUGGCCCCGUCCCUGUGGCAGGCUGUCAUUUGCAAAGGGCACAGAAAGUAGGUCACAGUCAGUUCCUGCAAAUCUGGUGCCAGGAAGCUUUGUCUGUGUGAAGACUGUCCUCACUGGAGUUUGCCCACCUGUGGACACAGGCCGUUGGACCUUGCCCAGAAGUGGGGCCCGUGACAUAUACUCCUACACACUCAAGGCUUCUUCCUGCCAAUUUUGCUUUCUGUAAAGCCUGUUGAGCACCACAACAAGCUUCCUGCAAAACCCGUUUCUCAAGUUCGGCAGCAUAUCCCUGACACUUCCAAACCUCUUUUUUCUGGAUUAUGUGAACUCAAAGGCACAAGAAAGCAUGUAGACAAGGAGGCUGAAUACGAGGUGAAGGGGAAAUUGGCCUCAGCAGAGAAGCUAUCAGAAAUGAUCAUAAAACAAUGAAGUCAUAAUGAGGAAGUGCAGCGAAAAACAGCACAAACUCCACCCAAGGAUGAGGAUGGAGCAACAGUUCGUGAGUUUAGUUCUGAGAGUUGGCUUGCAGCAGCAAAAAGGGAAAGAUGAAGAGAAAGGAACUGGUCAGAGACCCUGGGAUCAGAGAGGAAGAAGGUUCGUGGACAGGAUGAAAUAAUGUCCACGUUUCGAUAGUGAAGAACGGGAGCUUAUUACCUAACCAUGGCUUGGGGAAAGUAUUUCUUACAGCCUCUGGCUUCUUUUACUUUAAUUUUGUAUUUACUGUGCAAC